rnacentral:lncRNA from 1 species
CAUCCUUCUUUCUCUUCAUUUCUAAUCUUCUUUGUUCUUUCAUCUUCUUCCUCCCAAGCCUUCAUUUAACUCCUUCAUCCCUUCAUUUCCUCCACAAAGCUUUCAUCUUCUCCAUAUAAACUUCCACUAAUCUUCCCAUUUGUUUCCUCCAUGCCGACAACAUCAUGUGAAGGCAUCUUCUUUCCUUCCACCAACACCACCUCAUCC